rnacentral:rRNA from 1 species
UACGAAGGGUGCUAGCGUUGUUCGGAAUCACUGGGCGUAAAGCGCGCGUAGGCGGCUUUGCAAGUCAGGGGUGAAAUCCCACAGCUUAACUGUGGAACUGCCUUUGAAACUGCAAGGCUAGAGUGUCGGAGGGGAUAGCGGAAUUGCUAAUGUAGAGGUGAAAUUCGUAGAUAUUAGCAGGAACACCGGUGGCGAAGGCGGCUAUCUGGACGACAACUGACGCUGAGGCGCGAAAGCGUGGGGAUCAAACAGG